AGCAGCCGCGGUAAUCCCAGCUCCAAUAGCGUAUAUUAAAGUUGUUGCAGUUAAAAGCUCGUAGUUGAAUUUCGGGAUCAAAUUGUCGGUCGUGCCUCGGUACGCACUGGUAUUAUUGGUUCCUACCUUCUGAAGAACCGCGAUGUCAUUAAUUUGGUGUCGUGGGGAAUCAGGACUGUUACUUUGAAAAAAUUAGAGUGUUUAAAGCAGGCUUACGCUUGAAUACAUUAGCAUGGAAUAAUGAAAUAGGACGUUUGAUUCUAUUUUGUUGGUUUCUAGGAUUGACGUAAUGAUUAAUAGGGAUAGUUGGGGGCAUUAGUAUUCAAUUGUCAGAGGUGAAAUUCUUGGAUUUAUUGAAGACUAACUACUGCGAAAGCAUUUGCCAAGGAUGUUUUCAUUAAUCAAGAACGAAAGUUAGGGGAUCAAAGACGAUCAGAUACCGUCGUAGUCUUAACCAUAAACUAUGCCGACUAGGGAUCGGAUGAUGUUAAUUUUUUAAUGACUCAUUCGGCGCCUUACG
rnacentral:rRNA from 1 species